GUGCAAGUACAAUGUGUUGCUUUUGAGCUUUGUUGAUGUUCAUUAUGUGCUGAAAGAAGUUGAUUUUUUUUUGCUAGUUAGUGUUGGAGUAAUGUAAAUAAAUGUGAUUGUUUAGCUUUGUGGUAUAUAGAACUUAGCAGUUGAGACUUUUGCAAUGUGAAUUCUGUAGUGCUGUUAUUCUUGUUACAUGUAUUUAAACUCUGUCUGUUUUACUUUAGGAGAUCCCUUUCAAAGUUGGAGCAUAGUUUCUCCUGUCUAUCCUGGACUUUGAAUGUGUUCAUGAAGGUGGUCUAUUGUCCUGCCGGAAAUUUUGUUCUUCUAAAUUGGGAAUGCUCCAUUAGUUUAGGAUCCAGUGGUUUGUGAAUGCUAUAAGUAUAAUUUGAUUGCAGAUUGAUGGACUGUUGUUUUGAUAUGGGCGCAAGAUUUCCAACAGAAUUGCUCAUAUUGUGUUAUAGGUCUAGGUGGUACAAUUUUAAAUCCAAAUGUUUUUUCUGAGGCAAAGCUCCAUUUGGCAGUUUAUUAAAGGGCCUUCCUUUUAUAAUGAGAGAUGAAAUUUACCGGGGAAGAGGCUUCCUCUGAAUAGAAACAAAAUUUGUAAUACUAGAGAAUAAAAGGAAUUGGAUCUGAGGAUUGUGAACAUAAAAUUUAUUGGUAAUUAGUAUUGAACCUGUGCAGCUAAUUUAAUUGCUUGAUGAAUCAAUUGUCUUAUUAAAUUAUGAAUUAAAAGUACGAUGUCUUCUCCUUUCUAUUGUCAACAUGUUUAUUAACCUUGUCAUUUGUAGCUUUCAUCAACAUUGAAGGUCACAUAGCCUUUGCUAUGUUUAGGUCUUCAGAAAGAGCCCCUCUUCAGCAUCAUUUGUUUAAACAAAUAGAAUGUUGUUGUCAUGAAGUCAUGAUUUCUUUCAAUAUCAUGUUAGCCUUGGUUAAUUGGAAAGGCAGUCAGCAAAUUUAGCUUGAUUUGGAUUUUCAUAUCUUCUUUGACAAAUAAAAAUUAAAAUCAGUGACACCCUUUAAUUGGCUUUGUUGAGAGAAUAAAGAUAUUUUUUUUUUCUCUUAUUUUAGAUUUAGAAUUAAGUUGCCAGCUUCUGCAUGUCCUCUCACAUUUGUUUUUUUCCUGAAAAGAAAAGAAAAUUGCAUGGUAUAUGCCAACUCUAGGAUUUUGUGUUGAGGAAUAGAAAGGGGAUAAAUGUAGAAGAAAGUGGGGGAGAGCAGCAGUAGUUGAUUUUCAGAUUUUAAACGUAUUCUGUCAAAGAGUCUUUCUAAAACAUAAUAUCUGUGCUUCUUAUAAGCAAUGAACAAAAUCUCUAAUAGUUCAAAAGCAAAAUAGGAAUAAGAAUAUCCUAGAC